rnacentral:lncRNA from 1 species
AGAAAAGGAAAAAAUGGGGAUAAAAUGGGGAAAAUGGGGAAAAAAUGGGGGAAAAUGGAAAGAAUGGGCAAAAAUAGGAAAAAAAGGAAAAAUGGGAAGAAAAAGGGAAAAAUGGAGAAAAAGGAUAAAAUUGGAUAACAAAAGGAAAAAAUUGGCAAAAAUGGAAAAAAAGGAAAAAUGGGAAGAGGAAAAAACGGGGGGAAAUGGGAGGAAAAGGAAGAAAAGGAAAAAAGAGGAAAAAGGAAAAAAGAGGAAGAGGAAAAAAGGAAAAUUAAAAAGGGAAAAUCGAGGAAAAAAGAGGAAAAGGAGGAAAAGGAAAAAAAGGAAAAAUAAAAAAAGGAAAAAGGAAAGAAAAACGGGAAAAAGAGGGAAAUAAAAGGGGGGGGAAGAAAAAAAUUUAAAAAGAAAAAGGAAAAAAUAUUUUAAAAUGAGGAAAAAAUUGAAAAUUUUAAGAAAAAAUUAAAUUAUAAAAAUUAAAUUUUAAAAAAAAUGAAUAAAGAUGAAAAAUUUCAAGAAGAAAAUGCUAAA